rfam:Felis catus isolate Cinnamon breed Abyssinian chromosome C2, whole genome shotgun sequence.
GCCUGGGUGACUCAGUCGGUUAAGUGUCUGACUUCGGCUCAGGUCGUGAUCUCACGGUCCGUGAGUUUGAGCCCCACAUCAGGCU